rnacentral:rRNA from 1 species
UACGGAGGGUGCGAGCGUUGUCCGGAAUCAUUGGGCGUAAAGGGCGCGUAGGUGGCCCGGUCAGCGUGCGGUGAAAGCUCGGGGCUCAACCCCGAGUCGGCCGUGCGAACUGCUGGGCUGGAGCACUGUAGAGGCAGGCGGAAUUCCGGGUGUAGCGGUGGAAUGCGUAGAGAUCCGGAAGAACACCGGUGGCGAAGGAGGCCUGCUGGGCAGUGGCUGACACUGAGGCGCGACAGCGUGGGGAGCAAACAGG